GUACAACUGGUGAUGAAAACCGAGGCCGUGCUGCUAGUUUAGCCACGGUAGUAAUCUCUAUUAUUAAAGGAGGAUCGAAGGUCGUGAUGGUUCGACCUUCAUCGUCCCCCUUCUAUCGCUAGCUCCUCCCACCCACGUCCUCCCAUGGAUUUUUUUUCAAUACUACAGUCCCUCCAAAAACCAAAGGCAAGUAAACAAAAGAACCAAGCGGUUCAUCAAUAAAAGAAACCUGAGCCGACCUCCACCGCUCCCUCGUUUCCGUUCAAAAAGAAAAAACCUCUCCCCACGAAUCACCUGCCCACGAACUCACGUCCCACACAUCCCCCCAUCUCCCCCGCAGCCCUCGGCCCAGAUCCCAUCUCUCCCCUCUCUCCUUUCUCAGAAAAAUCGCCGGCCCGGAUCUCGAUUCGCCGCUGCCGCUCCCCUCCUCGUCAGCCUCGUGGUCGCGGUGGCCGAAGUCCUGGCUGUGGACGCCGCCGCUCCCCUCCUCGUCAGCCUUGUGGUCGCGGUGGCCGUAGCCGCCGGCCCUGCACUCUCCUCUUCAGGAUGUCCCUCGUGCCACCCUCAUGUUGUUGUCGUCGCGCCGCCUCUAUACACCGGCAACCAACUGUUCAGUUCCAUGGGCCCUGAUUGUUUCUUGAAUUUCAGAUUGUUGGGCAUGAGAGCCAUCAUCGGCUGGUUGAUCCACCUCGCUAGCUCGUGUCCGUCGAGGUCGUUGACUCUUCCAUUCCUGAAUUGUUAAGCUUCGCUGCAGCAGACUCGCCUUGGAGUUUCAGUUUCGAUCACAUGCAUGACCCUGUAGGUAAAUUGCUUUUUUUCCCGUGGAUGGUCUUCAGCAUGCAGAUGGGCUUCUAUUGUACGAUGAUACUGCUGCGAACAGCGAUCAUUAUCCCGCGACUGGUGAACAAGUUGAAGUCCACAGUGAUGUAUAGCAUCAUGAGCGUAAUUAUAUGACUACUUUUUGUUACUGUUUCUACAUACAUGUUUUAUUAUAUCACAGUUCUGCUCUUUGGGUGUGCACUUAAUUUAUGGGAGGAGCCCCAAACUUUUAUUAAAGAACUUACCAAUCUUGAACCUUCAGAAUUCAGACUGGUGGAGUACCUGUCAUUUUUAGGCAAUUGGUAGUGACGUAUUUGACUCGUCAGACAUAUGUCAUAAACUUAAAACAUAUUGUUGGCUGGAUACGAGACGAUGUAGUGUUGGUUGGAUACGUGACGAUGUAGUUCCAUCACCAUUGGUGAAGUGGAUAAGCUUAGAACAUACUAUUACUUUUAGGCAAUCUGUCGCGAAUCAGCAAUAAUGACUUAGUCCGGAGGUGGAGCGGAUAGUUGACACCAUGCAGUUCAACAAUCCCUCAUAUGUGAGCAAGCCGCCUUUGGAGCUGCUCGAAGCAAGACAGGAAGCAUGUCAUGCUCAAGCUCAAGUCGUCUCGAUGGCUCGUCGACCUGAAAUGGAUGAUGCGCUCAAGUGAUGCGUUGUGCGCUCAAGUGGUCGAAGCAGAAGGAAGAAAGGUCGUCCAUAGUGUAGUCUUGCUGACCGUGGUCUUAUAUACUCAGCUGAGCAAAGCAGAUGAAGCAAAGGAAGAAAUGGAUGAGUGACAAGUUAUCAACUAUGUAGUCUUAGAGUCAAGUGACAAGUGUGUACGAGUAUUUCACGGGCAUGCUUUUCAGUAGUGCGAGUGAGAUUUUUAUUUUGACCAUUAAUUAGUGUGAAUUAUGAUGAUCACCAUUGAUCAAUUAAUGUAAGGGGUUUGUUUUACGUAAAAGCAUUGGAUCUGAUGUAUACAAGUAUCUGCCACUAGAUCUCUUUCUAUGUUUUCAUCUGUUGUAUGUUCCUGAUGCGACAGAUAAAUUCUACACUGUUGAGGUCUACACUUUUCUAAUCAGGGCACACAUACCUGUUCUUCUCCUGAAAAAUAGCUGCAAUUUGGAAUAGUUCAAGCACAGAAGUAGUCUCCCAACUCUCAAAUUGUUGCUUGUUAUAUUAAUCUGCAGACUACCAAAUUGGAAGAUUUUCAAUCAUGAUAUGAUUCUGAGAAUGGAUGCAUGAUUGCAGAUGGCUACCAAACUGUAAAAUUUCAACAUUCAAAGGAUGUAUUUUGUACUGGCAGUUUCGAUGCAUGAUUGCAGCUGCAUGUAGGUUUCGGUUUGUCCAAGAACUGUCUAUGUAUACCGAUAAUGAUUACUCCAUCCGUCCCAAAAUAAGUUUAUUUGGUUUAGUACAGUUUAUACUAUAAAACUGUACUACAUGUACUAAAUCAAAGAUACUUAUUUUGGGACCGGGGGAGUACUUUGUUUUCAAAUGGCGCCUGCUGUACGCAUGACAACUGUGCGUGUAUAAAUUAGUAUCAUGUUGCCUGCACGUUGAACUUAUAAUUCUUUUUCUGAAUAAUGUGUCAUAUUUGAUUCCUGUCAAAAUGACCAUUGCUAUUUGCUUUCUAGACAUCUUGUAUGUGGCUUGUGGUGAUGACAAUUUUUAUUUUUCUCAGGAUUUGAUUAUGAUCGUGAAGGGUACAUUACGAUUUACGAGCAUUUAAUCUUCUCUGAUAAUCAAAGUGCCGCAUAGUCUUAUGUGCAUUCAUCAGAGCUAUUCCACAAUUUUGUCCCCCUUAUGCCUUUUUACACUUUUAUAUGUGUAGCUUUUAUUUUUUUUAAGACGUUCAUUCUUUUUUUUCUAAGUCUUCAUGUGUGCAGAAUUACUUCUGCGGUGAGCCGGAGUGUGACGUCUUCUCACGGGCUACUGUCAUCAAUCAAGGUGGUCAUCGGUCGAUAUCAAGCUUGACGAGUACUUCCCGAAGGCUGAUUUCUGCUCCCGCCGCGUCGCUGACCGAGGCCCCAUCUACGUGGGAAGCUGCUAUUUUUUUGAUAGAUUGGCAGUGAGAUGCUUGGAUAGGAGAAAAGAAAUCGGAAGAGCAUGAGAGAUAGAUGUUGAGAACCUAAAUAAUGCACACACAUUUACAUAUUUCAUGUGAUGGUAGUAUGUCGUCGUAAUUUUUGUGUUGGUUGUCCUACUGAAUGUUCCUGUCAGUCCUAACUCAUCACAUCUCUCUCAAUUUUCAGUCAUGCUUGGAGCUUUUAUCUGUAACUCUACAAUAUCAGAAAGCAUGUCUAAAGCUCAAGUUUGUAUUUGUCCAUGGUCAAGAUAAGGGGCACAUAGAGCUUGGUUUGUUAAGCUUCUUUAUAUUCUCAAGGAGGUCAGGAGUUCCUCUUGAGAAGGAAGAGGACAGCCUUUAACUCAACCUACGCCUUCAGAGAGAACCGCUUGAACUCAAGAUGCUCCUCCCAGUCAUUUGAUCGAUGCAAAAAUAACCUUUUAUGAGAGUGACCUAAAAGUCAAAUGUUUUACAUUAAGCAUACAUCUCUUGUAGGUCUAUUUAACUUUGGGUUUGGGAGUAUUAUAUGUUGUUUGAGAGGGUCUAUUUUUUUUGAGAAAAUAAGAUUUUGUUCUUUGUU